AACUUUGCGCAGUGGCAGUAUCGUAGCCAAUGAGGUUUAUCCGAGGCGCAAUUAUUGCUAAUUGAAAACUUCCCAAUACCCCGCCAUGACGACUUGAAUAUAGUCAGCAUUGGCAAUUUUUGACGGUCUCUACGGAGA